CUACUUUUUACUAAUUGGCUAUUCUUUAAAAUUGAGCCAAUUAGGAAGACAAGGGGUAUUAUGGUCAUUAUCACUUCUUAAAUGGAUUUGGGGUAUGUGUAACUUGCUUUUCUCUUCAUUUCUUUUGCCUUGCCAAAUCAGAAUUGUGGAGAGUGAGAAGAGGAAGUGGAAACAUGGAAGAGACAAGAAGGAGAGCACAAGCACAAACUUCAUCAUCCUGCAUGCUACAACCUCAAUUUAAUCUUAUUUCUCCUCAUCCCAAUCUACUUCAGGACUUGCAUUUUGUCUCAAUUCAGGUUGCUUGAGGCAGGAUAAAGGCAAUGGUAAGAUAUCUUAGUCAGCUUGGUGGUGUUUUUGUGGCAUAUCAUCCAUUAAGUUUUGAGAUCCUUAGCGUUGUUCUGUUGGAGUCUUUGUAUUAAUACUCUUGAUGUUGUAAUAUUUGACCAUGACACUUUCAUAUUUUGCUCAUUCUACUAAUACUUAUGUUAAUCUGCUGCUUAUGUAUGACUUUCAUGUACCAUAUUUAUAACACCACUAUGUAUUAUUCUAGACAUAUACGUAUAAGGUGUUACAGUUGGUAUCAGAGCAUAUUGAUUCCCGACUU